UUCACCAUCAGAUUUUGGCAUGGAGGAUGGAAGAAGGAGGGCGUUGGGAUGUGUAAGAAAGAAAGAAGUGGUGCAAAACCAUACGGGACGUCUCCUCUUCUCAUGAUAAAAAUAUUCAUGCCCCACCACAAUAUUUUAUCACACAACCACACCCUUACCUCAUGCACACCCUCUCCUUUAAUGCCUAAAAGAUCUCAUCUGAUUUAAUCUAAGGC
rnacentral:lncRNA from 1 species